UACGUAGGGUGCAAGCGUUGUCCGGAAUUAUUGGGCGUAAAGAGCUCGUAAGCGGUCUGUCGCGUCGGCUGUGAAAUCCCGAGGCUCAACCUCGGGUCUGCAGUCGAUACGGGCAAACUAGAGUAUUGCAGGGGAGACUGGAAUUCCUGGUGUAGCGGUGAAAUGCGCAGAUAUCAGGAGGAACACCGGUGGCGAAGGCGGGUCUCUGGGCAAUAACUGACGCUGAGGAGCGAAAGCGUGGGGAGCGAACAGG
rnacentral:rRNA from 1 species